rnacentral:tRNA from 1 species
UCCCUGGUGCCUUAGAUGGUAAAGGUUCCGUCUGCAACGCUGGAGACCCAGGCUUGAUCCCUGGGUAGGGAA